AAUUAAAUGCGCAAGGGAUAGAAGUGGUAUCCUUUUUAAUUGUCACACUAGGCUUGUCGAAGUGCGAAAAAUUAAAAAAGAUAUAGCGAAUAGCCCGACCCAAA
rnacentral:sRNA from 1 species